rnacentral:rRNA from 1 species
AUACGUAGGGAGCGAGCGUUGUCCGGAAUUACUGGGUGUAAAGGGAGCGUAGACGGCAUAGCAAGUCUGAAGUGAAAUCCCAUGGCUUAACCAUGGAACUGCUUUGGAAACUGCCAGGCUAGAGUGCAGGAGAGGUAAGCGGAAUUCCUAGUGUAGCGGUGAAAUGCGUAGAUAUUAGGAGGAACACCAGUGGCGAAGGCGGCUUACUGGACUGUAACUGACGUUGAGGCUCGAAAGCGUGGGGAGCAAACAGGAUUAGAUACCCUGGUAGUCCACGCUGUAAACGGUGAUUACUAGGUGUUGGGGACCAAAGGUCCUCGGUGCCGCCGCAAACGCAUUAAGUAAUCCACCUGGGGAGUACGUUCGCAAGAAUGAAACUCAAAGGAAUUGACGGGG